rnacentral:rRNA from 1 species
GGAAUAUUGCACAAUGGGCGCAAGCCUGAUGCAGCGACGCCGCGUGAGGGAUGACGGCCUUCGGGUUGUAAACCUCUUUCAGUAGGGAAGAAGCGAAAGUGACGGUACCUGCAGAAGAAGCGCCGGCUAACUACGUGCCAGCAGCCGCGGUAAAACGUAGGAGGCAAGCGUUAUCCGGAAUUACUGGGCGUAAAGGGCGUCUAGGCGGUGGCUCAAGCGCGGUGUGAAAGCUCCUGGCUCAACUGGGAGAGUGCGCUGCGAACUGGGCGACUAGAGGGCAGGCGACGGCGGUGGAAUUCCCGGUGGAGUGGUGAAAUGCGUAGAGAUCGGGAGGAACACCAGUGGCGAAGGCGGCCGCCGAGCCUGUUUCUGACGCUGAAGCGCGACAGCGUGGGGAGCAAAC